GUGGGGAAUAUUGGACAAUGGGCGCAAGCCUGAUCCAGCCAUGCCGCGUGUGUGAAGAAGGCCUUUUGGUUGUAAAGCACUUUAAGCGAGGAGGAGGCUCCUUUAGUUAAUACCUAAAGAGAGUGGACGUUACUCGCAGAAUAAGCACCGGCUAACUCUGUGCCAGCAGCCGCGGUAAUACAGAGGGUGCGAGCGUUAAUCGGAUUUACUGGGCGUAAAGCGCGCGUAGGUGGUUAAUUAAGUCAAAUGUGAAAUCCCCGAGCUUAACUUGGGAAUUGCAUUCGAUACUGGUUAGCUAGAGUAUGGGAGAGGAUGGUAGAAUUCCAGGUGUAGCGGUGAAAUGCGUAGAGAUCUGGAGGAAUACCGAUGGCGAAGGCAGCCAUCUGGCCUAAUACUGACACUGAGGUGCGAAAGCAUGGGGAGCAAACAGGAUUAGAUACCCGAGUAGUCC
rnacentral:rRNA from 1 species